UCUUCUGCGCUUUUCAUCUGCAGCAAACCAGUUGUUCCCCAUGAAAUACCAGUUACGUUCUUCCCCCAUGAAAUACCAGUUACAUAGAAGAAAGACCUAACGCCUUAUUGAUAUUCUUAUUCCCAUACUUUCCUCCUGCCAUACUUUUCUGUUGCAAAAACACAUGGGAUUCGUCGAUUGAAGGAAAGCUUGGGUUGUUAAUUAAGGUUUUGAUGCUUUUUGUGUUUGUGUUGGAGGGAUUCGUCAAUUAAAGGAAAGCUUGGGUUUUUGAUACAGUGGGUUGCAAACAGAUUCAAUUUAGGGUUUCGUCGAUUGAAAUAAAGAUUGGGUAUUUCAAAUACGAUUUCAAAAUGAAAUAUAAUCAAAUACGAUUCAUAGUUUGUUGAGAUUUAGACCAUGUUAUAAUCGAGUUUUACGUAUACACAUAUUUAGACAGAAAAAUCCACGAAAACAUGGUGUAAUCACCGACGACCAAGGUCCGCUAAUCUCAUUCUCUCCCUUUACUCUUUUCGGAGCCCUAACAAAUUUUUGUUUUUUCUUUCGCUAUCUCAUCUAAUCACUGUUUUGAUUUCACGAUUAGGACUAACUACUGCAACAUCUGCAGUGAAUAUCAAUGCCUGGUCAUGUUUCAUAUAUAUGCUUCCAGUUAUCGACUUCAUUUGUUUUGUAUUUCUUCUUAUCACGACUAUCAGUUGCACCAAGUUUUUGCCACCGGCUACCACAGGUUCGAUGGGUGUUUGCAGAGGGUCAAGAGAGAUGGGAAUACCAUAUGGUGUUAUAUUCAUGCCUCUAUUACCUCUAGCUGAAGUUUUCUCGAGGACGAGUAGGAGAUCAAAAUUAGUUGUGUGUACUCCGGUUAGUGUUUCUAUGAGGGAUAAUAUAAGUUCUUAUGAAGAUCAUGCAUUGUCUUAAGAAAAUAGCUUGGAAGGUGGUAAGAAGGUAUGUGUUCCUUUCCUUGGUAUUUUAGGUUUUUAAUAUUUUUUAAUCUAAUGGGACAUGAAUUAACUACCAAGUGCGACUCAUCAAGAUGAAUUGGGAAGUUGAUGAGCUUUUUAAACGGAAUAAGUGGUCUAACGGUCAAAAGUGAGCAGCUAAGAUACCAUUUGAUGAAUAUGGAUUAACUACUGACUGCAACUCAUCAUGGUCAAGAUGAACUGGGCAGUUGAUGAGCUUACUAAACAGAAUAAGCGGUCUAAUUAUUAGAAAAUAAGCACCUAAAAUAUAUCUUUUCAAUUGUGUAGAACUCAUAAGAAUCUUAGGUAGUAAAAUUCUGUCAUAUUCCCUUUUUCUUUUUCUUUUCAUCGAUGCAAUUGUGUUUAUACAACUUAUUUUUACAUUGCAGGGGAUUUAGACCACUUAAAAUAUCUCUGUUACUUAAAGACGACUCAAAAUUGUUAGAAUUUGGUUAUUGUCUUUCUUCGUAGACUAAUUUGAACUCCUGGAUGUUCUUAGAUAGCCAGUUUCUCAGUUUGGUUUCCAAGCCGAAAACAAAGUUAUGUACUUACUUCAACCAUGCAUGGGGUCAAGUGAUAAAAAAGAACGCUCAUUGGACUGGAACCAUGGGGGUCAUGCAUGUAGGGAGGAUAUAUAGAGAAUUGGUAAACCCGCGUCGAUUGAAGCUGUGUCUCUGGUGAACGUUUCAGUAGAUGGUUACAAUGGAUUUGAUGUUGGUUCUUGGAAUGGAAGGAGAAGAUCUGAUGCCGCGAAUGGGUUUUCACCUGGAAUUGAAUUCCAAUGAGUCGAGUACGAGUUUGAGAUGGGACUUCUGGUCUCGAUAAACCAUAAAAUCCUAUUCCGUAUGUUGGUAAACCCAGAUCCCUACUAAUUCCUACGAUUUUUCAAUUGUUUUUUAUUUUUUUGUUUUAUACUGCAGGUGAUAAAGAUUCAUGCAAAUUUGAUAUCCAUAUAGGGAAAAAAUUGGAUUCAAGCACUCAGGCCUUUAAACAGUUUAUCUCUAUGAAAAUUCAUGAGUUUGUUUGCAUCGAAUAAUAUACUGGGGUUAUAAAUAGGCUCUCAAUGACAUUAUUAUUACAGGUUAAGUUGCAUAUAUGUAAAGGUUAUAUGAUGCAUGAAUACAACUAUAGAAAGCCAUAAGUACAUAGAAAUGUCAUCUUUUAUGUUGGUAAACCCAGAUCCCUACUAAUUCCUACGAUUUUUCAAUUGUUUUUUAUUUUUUUGUUUUAUACUGCAGGUGAGAAAGAUUCAUGAAAAUUAGAUAUCCAUAUAGGGAAGAAAAAAAAUGGAUUCAAGCACUCAGGCCUUUAAACAGUUUAUCUCUAUGAAAAUUCAUGAGUUUGUUUGCAUCGAAUAAUAUACUGGGGUUAUAAAUAGGCUCUCAAUGACAUUAUUGUUACAGGUUAAGUUGCAUAUAUGUAAAGGUUAUAUGAUGCAUGAAUACAACUAUAGAAACUCAUAAGUACAUAGAAAUGUCAUCUUUUGGUCGCUAAUUAGAACUGUUAGAAACUUUCCAUGGUGAUAAAAAGGUAUAGUAUUGUUUAUGACUUUCUUAGAAGUUUUUCAGACCAUCUUUGAGCAGUAGGGAAUAAUGUAUACCAUGCUCCCCUUAAUCUUCUCCGAAAUUAAAGGUUCAUAUCUCAGGUUGUCUGCCCUUCUAUAAUCGAAUGUGUCUUUCUUCUACUUGAUAUAUUGACGAGGAUGGAGUGAGAGAAAUAGCCUGAGUUAACUAUAAAGGAGAGGUUCUCCUUUUCAGGUGUUGAUUCUUAGUGCAUUGUUUCUUAGAUGCUAAUUCAGAUCAAAUCAAUUUAUAUGUAUCUGCAAAACUGCCAAAGUAGAAUCCCAUAGCAUAAACUUCUAAUCAUUUCCUGUUACAGAUGAUCCAUUGAUAAACAACCCAUUUGCAGCAUAAUAGUGAGGCUUUUAUACAGUGGUAAGAACCAUUAUGAUACUCCAUGAGAGUUUGUUAAAUGUAUUUAGAAAAACUGUAUUCUUUGUUUGGAAAUGUGUACUUAAAUUACAAUGAACUCCAUAAUUAAAACUGCAUUACAAGUUUAAACAAUGCCAGUAAGGAUCUUGGCCUAAUGAUAUAGAUUAAUAAAGAAUCAACUCAGCAGCAAGUGAAGCAGCUUGCAACAAGCAUAUCCAGUGCUCUAAGAAAAAGAUUGAUCUUGGAUUUAAAAUCAGAACGGGCCUAAUGGAAUCAGAAAUGAUAAUUUGGGGAACUAGGAUGGAGCUGAUGUUGAAAAUGAUAUUGGAAUAGGAAGCACCUCUACAGUUUAUAAGAUCGGUGGUAGUGGCUACAAUGAGGUAGAAUCAACGCAGCUGAAGUUUAUGUGAAUGGUGUUAAGUGGAGAACUCCAUUAUUGGGUAAAUGAAUGAUGAAAAUGGUUGUAAUGAUUUAACUUAAAUUACAGAUGAUGUUCAUGCUGCGGAAGUAAUUUUGGAAAGGCUGAGAGAGGUGUGGAUUCCACUAUAGCUAAGAAUGUAUCGAUGACAUCAACAUUGAUAACAUAAAAAAGGUGGCUUAUCGGAUAUUUUCUGUGGAUGUAUUAAAAGGUUCCAUCUCAAGGGAGAAUUUAUAGAAUCAUUUUUUAGCCCUUCGCAGUGAAUUCAAUAAAAGCCUAUCAAACCAAAUCAAAAAUGCAUCACGAUGGGGACAUGACGAAGCGGAGCCACACCAAAUAAAAAAUGUAUCGGAAUGUGAGUGUGGCGAAGCUGAGCCGCACCAUUAAAAAUCCCAAGAGACGGGGCGAGGCGGAGACGAGCCACACCAAAUCAAAAAAUGCACAACGGAGCCGGGCGAAGCCACAUUACACCAAACUAAGAAUAUGGUUUUAAAAAAAAUGAUAGUGGAUGGUUUUAGGGUUCGCACGGGCACAAAAUCUAGUGUAUAGGUUGUGACCGAUCCAUGUGAUUGGGUUGUGACCGAUCCUAACACAAAUUCAUACACAAAACUGUUUUAGGCAUAACUUUUGCAUACGAUGUCCGAAUUCAGUGAUUUUUGGCUCGUUUUAACCGUAUAAACAAGAGAUACACA